CCUACGGGAGGCUGCAGUAGGGAAUAUUGCUCAAUGGGGGAAACCCUGAAGCAGCAACGCCGCGUGGAGGAUGAAGGUUUUCGGAUUGUAAACUCCUUUUGUUAGAGAAGAUAAUGACGGUAUCUAACCCCUAAUCACCGGCUAAAUCCGUGCCAGCAGCCGCGGUGAGAUGGAGGGUGCAAGCGUUAUUCGGAAUCACUGGGCGUAAAGAGCGCGUAGGCGGGAUAGCAAGUCAGAUGUGAAAUCCUCUGGCUUAACCAGAGAACUGCAGUUGAAACUGGUAGUCUAGAGUAUGGGAGAGGUAGGCGGAAUUCGUGGUGUAGGGGUGAAAUCCGUAGAGAUCAAGAGGAAUACUCAUUGCGAAGGCGGCCUGCUGGAACAUAACUGACGCUGAGGCGCGAAAGCGUGGGGAGCAAACAGGAUUAGAUACCCGGGUAGUC
rnacentral:rRNA from 1 species